CCCUUAGAUGUUCUGGGCCGCACGCGCGCUACACUGACGAAUGCAACGAGCUUAUAACCUUGGCCGAAAGGUCUGGGUAAUCUCCAAAUUUCGUCGUGAUGGGGAUAGAUUAUUGCAAUUAUUAAUCUUCAACGAGGAAUGCCUAGUAAGCGCAAGUCAUCAGCUUGCGUUGAUUACGUCCCUGCCCUUUGUACACACCGCCCGUCGCUCCUACCGAUUGAAUGGUCCGGUGAAGCGUUCGGACUGCAGCACUGCUUGGUCUCCAGGCUUUGCAGCGGAAAGUUUAGUGAACCUUAUCACUUAGAGGAAGGAGAAGUCGUAACA
rnacentral:rRNA from 1 species